UCUGGAAGUGUCCGGAAGAGAGAGAGACAAGUGCAAGUGGGUGGGAUGAUGUGAGGAGAGAGGUGGUGAUAUUUGAACAACCAAAAAUGGAAAAAAAAAAAGAAAAAAAUUAAUUUUAAUUGUGUAGAGAUAUGUUUCCGCGGUAUACUCGUUGUGUCCAACGAGACGUUUCGUUAGGAAACUGAGUUUUCAGCCGUCACGUCGAGCUGCCUCGCUCGGACUCGGAGGACGGAGGAGACCCCGAUUUGCGCUUCGUCGUGCUCCCGGCACCGCGCGAAGUUCCUCGGGCCUCGUUGGAGCUUCACCUGAGGAUUCAGCAUCCUAAUGGGAAGAUGGAUCUGAAAUCCGCUGGAUACCUGCCCAUUUCCGUUAUCCACCAGCUCCACGAAGCUGCUUACAACGGCACCAAAAAGGAAAUGCAAACAAUUUUAGUCUAUGGUCAAAAGCUCUUUGAGCCAGACAUCUGAACAGUUGCGGCGUACAGUGAGAGAAGGACUGAAAACCCGUUCAUAGAGAAAGACA